CAGGAUCACAACAGGUAGACAAUUUGUUUAAGGAAGAAGCAAAGUUGUAUGCAGACAAUGGAUUUUGUGGAAAAGAACUUCACAGAUCGGAAUUCGAUCAUUAUACUCAAAUCGUUUGGAGAGAUUAAAAAAGAUUGGUGUUGGUAAAUCAGAAAGCUUUGUGGUUAUCAACUAUACCCCACGAGGAAAUAUUUAUGCUAUGUACGCUGAAAAUGUACCAUGUCCUUCAUCAUAAUUAUUGUUAUGAAGAUUUUGUUUUGAAAACUGCGCUUUAAAAAAUCUUAAUCUUGUAAAAACUG